UACGUAGGGGGCUAGCGUUGUCCGGAAUCAUUGGGCGUAAAGCGCGUGUAGGCGGUCCGGUAAGUCCGCUGUGAAAGUCGGGGGCUCAACCCUCGGAUGCCGGUGGAUACUGUCGGCUUGAGUACGGAAGAGGCGAGUGGAAUUCCGUGGUGUAGCGGUGAAAUGCGCAGAUAUCAGGAGGAACACCGAUGGCGAAGGCAGGUCUCUGGGCAUUAACUGACGCUGAGGAGCGAAAGCAUGGGAGCGAACAGG
rnacentral:rRNA from 1 species